CCCGUCAAGGAAAAUUCUUUUCUCCGUGUGUACUUUGUUUUAUUUGUGUUUUUGGGUGUUGAAUUUGAGGAUUUUCGUUACACUGUCGGUAAUAAUGUUCAGGAGACCUCCAGUCACGGAUUUGUUUUUAUCCAUUCAUGUCAGAAUAAACCAGAGAGAAACCUAAGACGCGUCAUCAUCCUGAUUCGAACAGAACACACAGGAACGGACGAGACAUUCAAGGACCAGAGGAACGUGGCAGGCGCCUGUUAAAUAAGGUGUGCACCUGGCGUCUUCUCCUCCUUCUACCUGUCACCUCAGGGAUGGAGGGAUGAGUGAGUACCGGUAAGGGAAAAAAAGAGAAAUUCCCAGUGGAGUAGACAUGAUUGCAGACAUUCCUUGGGUGUGAGUUGCAACAAUCCCUCCCCUUUAAUCCCGCCCCAGUAAAAAAAAAAAAAAAAAAAGAAUACGAGUCCAAAACGCCCCGGGCCAAACGCGACCCCGAGUCUAACACACACCCAGGCACGCUCCCAUUCACACAGAGAAAGUGCACAGCCGCCUGAGACGGCAGGAUAAAGACAUCACCUGUCACGCUUGUCAGCUCGUGCCGCUCUGCAACAAAACCGAAGUGUUGGAGUGGGCAGCCCAAAAAACGGCGAGACAAAAAGAACUGUAAUGGUGGGAUGGAGACAUCAUCCGUUACACUCAACUGUCAACUGUCCAAACACAGCCGCCCACCUGUCCUCGCAAACACGCACCGCGAACACACAUCCGAAUCUGUAAACACACCAAUUACCUGACAGCAGCAUGGGGUCUGGGGGAAAUUGCAGCUUCAUUAUCAUAGCAGUUAUUAUGUUAACCCACAUAUCCGAGGCAUGGCCGCACUGCCGUGUGUAAUGACGGGGUCAGGCGCCGGGGGCUGACACCAUGUCCGCGAGGUGGAGGGAGGAGGUCAUGUUAUGAAAAUACAUGCGUCGGGUUGGAAAGGUAAAGGUGCGUCUGUCGUAACGAGUGUUUAGGCCGUGCAAAUGAAAGAGUGCGCAUGCAUUCCUGUAAUAGUACACCAGGUAUUUCCUCAGAAAUGGCAGGAACAGUAGGAGUUUUUAAGGAGUUUUUUUUAAGGAUUACUGGUGUGGAUUCUCAUCAAGUCGAGGUCUACUGGGCGAUGGAUUCCUGGAGACAUUUUGUUUCCAAUCACUUUACCUAUAAACCACCAGUCUACAACUGAAGUUAUCUUGAGGUGUCAACUGAGAAACAGACUAAAUUUAUCCUGGUUGGUAUAAACCAAGUUAGUCUAAAUAAUCCAGUGAGGCUAGUAUCUCGAAGCGCUUGUACUAUCCUAGAUAAA